rnacentral:rRNA from 1 species
CAGCCGCCGCGGUAACCCCAGCGCCACAAGUGGGAACCACGCUUAUUGGGUCUAAAGCAUCCGUAGCCGGUUCUGCAAAUGCCCUGUGAAAUCGUUGCGCUCAACGUAACGACGUGCAGGGUAGACUACAGAACUAGGGACCAGAGGAAGUAGACGGUAUUCCUGAGGGAGCGGUAAAAUGUGAUAAUCUCAGGAGGACCACCGAUGGCGAAGGCAGUCUACUAAUAUGGAUCCGACGGUGAGGGAUGAAAGCUAGGGGAGCGAUCCGGAUUAGAUACCCGAGUAGUCCUAGCCGUAAACGCUGCAUGCCAGAUGUUACACAAUCUUCGAGAUUGUGUAAUGUCGAAACGAAGGUGUUAAGCAUGCCACCUGGGAAGUACGGUCGCAAGGCUGAAACUUAAAGGAAUUGGCGGGGGAGCACA